UCACUGCCCUCAGAACCCUCCCUGCACUAUGAUGGUCAAAGUGGCGUUCAGGGAACGUGUAGAAAAUUCCGGAAACGUGCCCAACAGCAGGGCUGUUCUUAUGUCAAAUCCCCACUCAGCCAUGAAGUGUUAAUAUUUUUAAAAAGUAUAAAGCAGUCUAUAAGUCUAAUACAGAAGUGGAUAACUUGAGGCCCUCAGGCCAGAAGACACAGGGGAGCCAGGCAGGCCCAUUGGCCAACUGAGGGAGCUACUCCGAGUCCCCCGGUAGAGGCAAAGGGGGGCCCUUUGGUAAAUGGGCCUACAAUUUCCCAUCAGGCCCAUUGGUUCGAGGCUCCUGCCCUCUGCAGUAGGAGGAAACAAGUUUGCUCCAUCUUCCAUACGACAAACCUUCAAAUAUCUAAAGACGGCUAUCACAGGCACUCAUUAGAGGAUGAGUGACUGAUGGCUGCUUCAAGUGACUGGGAAUUGAUUUCAGAAGAGCUGACAAAAGGAGGUGCCUUCAUUCAAGACAGCAUCUAUUUAUCCAUCAAUAACAUUUGUGUCCUUCCUUCAAGAAGCUCAGCAUGUGUGAGGAUUGCCCUAUUUUUAUCUUCCCAACAGCCCUGGGAGGUAGGCUAGGCAAGGGAGAGCACCAAUCGACAAGCUUAAUGGCUGCAUAGGAAUCUGAUCCCAGUUCACAUUUCCCAAAACAAUAUACAAACCGAAAUGUGCAGGAAAGAGUACCAGGAAAGGGCCUCCCUGACAGGUGACACCUGAAACAGUGUUAGUUCUGCAGAUCGAAGCAGUCGAGUGGAUGUAUAUGGAGCAAGGUGGUUUCACAGCUUCCUGUGUUCCUAAGAAGGCCACAGAGGGGAUGGAUUGUUCCUGUUUGACAUUGGACUUCAAUGUUGCUUAUUCUGAUGCUGCAAAGCCAGUUUUUAUCUUCUUACGAACACUGCCUUCCAUAUUAAAUGAAGAGAUCCCAUAAAAAGAAGAAAUGCAUUACACCAACCUUCAAUAUUUUGAAAGCAUCCUGUAGGUAUGAUUUGUUUAGGGGGUUUUCCUGCAGCUCCGAAAACUACCUGCACAGAUGAGGGGAAUAAAAACACAGCCAACCUGUUUAAUUGUGCAUUCAACCCAAUUUGCUUCUGUGGAGCUUGAUUGAUGCUUGCCCUUUGUAGAGCAUUUGUUCUGAUUUAUUUCAGGGGAGGGCAUGCAGCAAGGAACAUUCACCCUGAUUUGUUUGCAGAGGUUAUACACCUUCCCAUCAACUGAUCAUCAUCCCACACUUUUUAGUGCACUGUCUGGUCAAUUUCCUAUCCACAAAAAAAAGUUGAUUUGUUAUACUGGAGAGGCCACCCUCUUUAUAACUUCACAAAUUAUAAAUUUCCAAUAUAUAACUGAACACACAUCGAAUAACAUGACCAUCUUACAGAAGCCACAGUGUACGGAUUGCCUUGGCUGGAUCUGAAUUCAGGGCCACCUAUUCCAGGACUCCGUUGCCAACAGUGGCCAGCCAGAUGCUUCAAGGAAGCCCACAAGCCAGGGCCUCGCCUCUCCUGCCUGCUCUUGACAUCCAGCACUCUGAAUUUUACAGCCUCUGCUUUGCAGAAAUCUGCCUGCCCUGCUUGCCUAAAAGCAAAGCACCCAUAUAUAUUUAAAUAAUGUCCGCCGGGAAUGUUGGUGAUCCCACCACUAGGGGGAGUGUGUCCUUCUCCCGCAAUUUCCAUCAUAUUACUCUUAGUUUCACUCCUUAGCAUCUCGCCGUUGUCCGGCAAAUUAGCAUCACCAGCAUCACCACCGACAAAAUGCUUUAGCAAAGAAAGUGGUUUUUGUUUGCUGUCAGGCUCAUACUUUAAUCCUGAGUGGCUGGAUUCUGUAUUUAAAAGCUAGAAUUGAGGCAGGGCAGUAGAGAAACAGCCCAAGACAGAAAAACCAAAAAUAGCAGUCUUCCCCUAUGACAGUAAAAAUAUCCUAAUAAUGUGCAGUUUUGCUGUCUGUUUACGGCAGUCUCAAAAUCUGACAAUUGAGUCAGGCAGACUAAUGGUAAGGCCAGCUCUUGUCAGAUUCUCGCCUUGGGGUGAUGCUACAAGUUCAGCUGGACAUACAUAAUUUUAAGGGUCCGCAGCUGCUGCAGAAGAGUACUUGCGGCAUUUUGGUAAAAGAGGGAUGGGUGUACUCCCAGUGUCGUCAGACUCCAACUCCCAUCAGCUUCACCCAGAAUGUGCAAUGGUCAGGGGUGAUGGGAGUCAAUUGUCAUUGAUUUAGGUGGUGUUUCAUGGAUCAACAUAAGCAAAUAUAUGUCACAGUCCCCUAGCAGCAUACAAUCUAAUGUUGACAGCAAAAUGAGACAGAAAUACCGUAGUGGUAGGUGGGAAGGAAGAAGGAGGAUUAACAAAGAAUGGAGAUGACAUUGAGAGCUUUGUUUUGUAUUUUUGCUUUGUUUCAAAAACAGCAUUAUACUUCCAGCCAAUUGUCCUUCAUAAGCAUAUUAGCCAAGAAUGUUUGGGUAUAUCUUGGUAAUUUUUCCAUUAAAGCACUGUCCCAGAUCUGGAAGUACCAGUAUACUCUUGGUUUGAUUUGUUUUCAGUGUGUUAUUAGCAGUGCUUUUUUUCCUAAAAAAAAUAUUUAGGAGUACUCUCAUUUUCCUACUCAUAUUGAAAUACU